GAUGAACGCUGGCGGUGUGCCUUAAGCAUGCAAGUCGAGCGUCUCGCAAGAGACAGCGGCAGACGGUGAGUAACACGUAGGAAUCUACCUCGAAAUGGGGGAUAGCCAGCCGAAAGGCUGAUUAAUACCGCAUAGUCCCGCAAGGUAAAGCAGCAAUGCGUUUCGAGAGGAGCCUGCGUCCUAUCAGGUAGUUGGUGAGGUAAUGGCUCACCAAGCCGAUGACGGGUAGCCGGAGUGAGAGCUUGAUCGGCCACAAAGUCACUGAGACACGGGACUUACACCUACGGGUGGCAGCAACUGGGAAUUUUGCGCAAUGGGCGAAAGCCUGACGCAGCGACACCGCGUGUGGGAAGAAGUAUUUAGGUAUGUAAACCACUGUGGCGAGGGAUGAAUUUUGACAGUACCUCGCUAGAAAGUACCUGCUAACUACGUGCCAGAAGCCUCGGUAAU
rnacentral:rRNA from 1 species